rnacentral:lncRNA from 1 species
AUGUACAUAUAUAUAUGAAGAAAAGGGUCAUAGACUUUCAAAGGAAGUUACUUGGCCUAAUUUCUCUAUUAUUAACUAUUCGAUUUCAAUGACUAAUUUCUUGACGUAUUUAUGGCUUGUCUCUUGGCCCAUUUGACAUUUGUAGUCUCUUUUAGGCUUCUGUCUUGAUCUAUUUAUAUAUACUAAUUAGAGCUUAGAAUCAUAUUUUUAGUUUUUAGUUUUUUUUGCAAGGGAUAAUAAUCAAAUUGUCUUUUACAUUAUUAUCGAUCUUAUUAGUUUAAAUUUUUAGGUGAAGUGAUGUUCGGUUGAAAUAAUUUUGAGGAAAGAAGAGGAAUGGAAACAAGAGAUGAGAAGAGAAAAUAGGAAAAAAGAGAGAGUUAAUCUCAACUUUAUUAUUUGGUUUAAUAUGAAAUUUUUUUAUUUUUCCCUCAUUUACUUAUAAAGUUACUGUUAAAUAAUAGUUUCAAUAGAACUUGAGAUAGAUGGGUAGAACUACAAGAGCUCGAAAGUGGGUCAAGAAUUAAAAUAAUAUUUGAAAUUGAAUUUGCAAAUUGUUGAUAUCGAACUUUACAUAUUGGCUCUUGUACCAAAUAAGUGAAACAACUUGACCCAAAAACUUAAAUUAAUAGGUAUUAACUGAUAAUAAUAUUAUAGAAGCUGGUUUUACUAUUACCUUUAAGGUGUGGUCUUGCAAAUCUAACUAUAAGGUGUGGUUGUAGGGAUGUCUUCCUUUUUGGAUAGAAUUAAUUGUGAUUUUAUCUUAUAAAUUUGAGUUAAGUAAAAUGGACUAAACUCAUAAAGUAUCUAAUGUGUGAAAAAAAAUUUCUUUUAGUAAAGAAAGAAAAAUCUAUAAUAAAACAGCCUUAAGUCUUAAAUUAUCAUACAGAUUAUGGUUAUGUUGGAGUAGAUCUUCUGUGAAAUAAGAAUCUUAACUACACACGUAAAAUAAUAAAUAAUAAAAAAUUUAUUAUAAUUUUAAUCGUAUGGUUAUGAAAAGAUGCUCAACCUUAGAGCAACUCCUUCGUAUCCAAACCCUAUCAUAUAUAAUGUGUUUGAGCAUAUUAAUUAUAUGACUUUCUUUUCCUCUUUUUGUAGCGGUGUGCUAUUAGUUAGGUUUACUUUCUUGUUUAAAAAAAAAAAGAAUUAACGUUGAUGAAAAUUUUCCUCUCUCAUACUUCUUUUGCUGUUAAUCUUCAAAGCAAUAGAUCAAAUCUCGUCAACCGCUCCUCGGCUCAAAUCUAUCGAUGUGACUGUGAGAUUAUAAUUCCUCUUUAUUUAGGUUUCAAUUAACCCUUUUCAUUUUCACUUUCUUGACAGCCUGCCCUGUCAAAGAUUAAUGGCCUUUCCGUGUAAGUAGAAAAAGUGGAUUUAUCAAGAAAUUCAUGAUGGAUUUACCACAAACAAAGAAUUGGGGUCCAAUCUAAAAAGCCUAUUAUCACAACUUUCAAGUCACUAGUACAAUCUUUCAAGACCUUUUAGCCACCUCACAUCUUCAAACAUCUUAUAUUUAUUUAUUUAUUCAUUAAUAUUGACUACUUCAAUAACAUGAAUAUAAUUUCUCAAGUUAGCUUUCAAACCCUUAUUUCAAAAUACAAGAAUUUGCAUCUCAAGAGGAGUGGACAAUCUCAAUAGAUAACUAAAUAAAUUUAUUUAAAAAUUAUUCUGUCAAAUUUUGAGGAGCUUCUUAUUAAAAUAAAGAAUGACAAAGAGAAUAGAGUUCGAUCAGCUUUUAAACUGUUGGAAAUUUCCUUGUCAAACUCAUCAACUUUUCUGCAUACAUUAAUCAGUUUCGAAGCCUUUGACAUGCACUAAUUGAAGUAAAUUUUUUCUUCAGUAUCUUUUGCUGUACUCAAUGAAGCAACUGUAACAAAUUAUCCAUAAAAGGCUAAACAAUUUAAAUGAAAACACAGAGUAGCAUUAGAAUUUAGAAAUUUCAGGCUCUCAGUUCAAUUAAUAUUAUGAAAAGUUAUCUAUUACUUCCGCUAGCAAAACGGUUGAGUAAUAAUAAAUCAGGCCAAAACCCAAAAGGGCUUGAGUGGUCUGCACGAUUCAACAAGUACAAGAAUUAACAAAGGGGGCCGGCCAAGCCUAGGUACAGCAAGAUUGUUGAUUAGGGAACCUCAGAAGAUCUUUAGAGGCAUGGGUCUUCUUUACAGUUGAUUUUAUGUCUCUUCUGUUUGGAAGCUGGGAAAGUUGUUGCCAGUGUGAUGAAAAUUAAUUAAUUUUUUAUUUCCAAGUGCAGUUUUCCAUACACCAUCAAAAAGAAGAAAGAAAAUAGGAUAUAGCUUUAUUUUAUCGCCUUCAAGUUAUGACAUACUUAUCAUUAAGAAUAUUAUCGCAUCCCCACAACUAGCUAAAGGGUAAAAUGAAUUUCUCCCAUAAGAAAUUUUUUCCCAAUAAUAGAAGAAAGGAUUUGGCCAUUUGAGUUCAAAUUUUCGACUUAUAUCCUAUGGACUCUUUAGCUCUAUCAUUAUUACAUGAAUUUUGACUCUGUGUGUCGAAAAGAACCACCUAUUGAUUAGAUGAUUCUCACUUUUGAGAGAGUUUUAAUUUUAACUUUUUUUUUUAUGGAUCAUGUGGGAUAGAAAAUCAUUCAACCGAAAAGAAAUUUAAGUUGCAGCUUAGUUGAACUUAAUUUAGGGGAAAAAACCCCUCUCAUUCAUAGGGUUUCAUGCAAUAACUAAUUUCAUCCUUACUUUUUAAACAAUAGUCUAAAACAUCAUUCCGUUAAUUCACCGUUAGUUGAAUGCCGUUUGUUAGUAAUUCAUUAAGGGUAAAAAAAGAUUUUUCAUCAAAUAGAAAAUUAGAAAAAUAAAUAAAAGUUUACAUAUAACUAAAAAUGAUUUUAUCUAAUCCCACUAAAUAUGAGAUACCGAAAAAGAUGAAAACUUCUAUUUCAAGCAAUUCAUUUUUCACUUCUUUCUAUUUUGAUGGUAUAAAAGCCUUAUAAACCCUAUAUCUAAGUACCAAAAAUAUCACAAUUUUCUUAUUCAUAUAAGUAUACUCUCUAAUUGUACGGUAAAAUGACUUGAAUUGAGUUGAAGAUAAAAAAGAUAUUCAGCACAUGCAAGCACAUAAAAAUUGGUGGUAUUUUUGAAUUUUUCUUCUAAUGAUUUAAAGAUAUUGUGUUAAUUACAGUUUGUUCCUUAUGACAAUUAUUUAAUAGCUAUAUCAAACUAUAUCAUCGUUGAUUUCAUUUAAAAAAAAGUUAAUGAAUUUUGCAUUUUGUAGUGUUAUUUAAUUGUGUAAAAAAAUUAUUUUAACAUAAUUUAUAUCACUAUAAUAAAAAAUCUUAUUUUGCCCUCAAUGAAUUACUAGUUAACGGCUUUACACCAAUUGUGAGUUAACAGAAGGAUAUUUUAGGUUAUUAUUUGAAAGUAUGGAUGAAAUGAGCUAUUGCAUUAAACGAAAAAGGCUUUUUCCCCUUAAUUUAUAUAGUGCUUUUCUAUAUUCUGAAAAUUUAGAUAUACACUAAAAUUUUGAUAAAUUGAUAGUACUGGGACUUAUGAAAGAUCCAUUAAUUUAGCCAAAAUAAAUAUAUCGAUAGAUUAA